AACCACUAUCGUAAAGUUGUGUAGUUACAGCUACACCUCUCGACCUGUAGUAUGUAGUAAGAACCAUAGUAGACGACGUAACCCUGAUGACGGAACACGCAGAGGACAGAUGGAUGAGAGUCGUAUAGUGAAAGAGUG